GAUGAACGCUGGCGGCGUGCCUAACACAUGCAAGUCGAGCGAUCUCUUCGGAGAGAGCGGCGGACGGGUGAGUAACGCGUGGGUAACCUGCCCUGUACACACGGAUAACAUACCGAAAGGUAUACUAAUACGGGAUAACAAACGAAAGUCGCAUGGCUUUUGUAUCAAAGCUCCGGCGGUACAGGAUGGACCCGCGUCUGAUUAGCUAGUUGGUAAGGUAAUAGCUUACCAAGGCAACGAUCAGUAGCCGACCUGAGAGGGUGAUCGGCCACACUGGAACUGAGACACGGUCCAGACUCCUACGGGAGGCAGCAGUGGGGAAUAUUGCACAAUGGGCGAAAGCCUGAUGCAGCAACGCCGCGUAAGCGAUGAAGGCCUUCGGGUCGUAAAGCUCUGUCCUCAAGGAAGAUAAUGACGGUACUUGAGGAGGAAGCCCCGGCUAACUACGUGCCAGCAGCCGCCGUAA
rnacentral:rRNA from 1 species